UGGUGGAGUGAUUUGUCUGGUUAAUUCCGUUAACGAACGAGACCUUAACCUGCUAAAUAUGCCGCGCUAACCCGUCCAUCAAACCUAUGUGUGACUCACGCGGUUCGCUGCACACUAAUGUUGCCCGUUAAACGGUGAUGUUAAGGUGCCGGCAGGGCCCGGGUUCAUAUAGGCGGUAGGGUUCGGCGUCUGUGCUUCUUAGAGGGACUGCUGCGCGCCUAGCCAGCGGAAGUUUGAGGCAAUAACA
rnacentral:rRNA from 1 species